CAAUGAUCACUAGAAGUGUCAGUGCGUUAAGUUUUGGGCGCUAAGUGUCGGUACCUACGCAUAGGGUGGGAAAACCCACCCUGAUUUCCACUUUCCAGCAUCAAAGCUUAAGCUUCAGUAUCUCGGCCUCUGCCGCAGCGAGUGGACGUCGUGUCUGUGCCAGUUGUUCCGCGAACGCUCGACGUGUUAUGAGUGAAUAUAAGUGCGUGUUGUGAGUGUUACAGUGGAAUGUUCUUUGUUCACCAGGACUUUCUACGUCAAAGGCGAUUAAAAUGCUCAGCAUGCGGCGCCUCCUCAGCCUCACGCUGCUCAGCCUCGCAGCGGAGCACGUGCGUGCGCAGGAGCGCGACAGUGAGCACCAAGGCCCGCAGCCCUGUGGAGGCCAUCUCAAGGCCGCAGUAGGCACCAUCACCACACCAAACUUCCCCAAUCCCUUCCCCGUGCCUAUCAAGUGCAAGUGGAUCAUUGAACACGACAUAGUGAACGGGACGAUAUCGAUAUACUUCACUCAGCAGUACACCACCAGUGGGCUGACCUUCACGGAGUACAUGUACUAUGACGAGACGUACAAGUUGGGGGAGAGGAGAGCGCUCACUGUCACUGAGGAGAACAUCACCAGGAUCAAGUGGCUGCAGGUGCAGAGUCCAGUGCUGGUGGUGGAGCUGAACCUGAACCGAGUGGAGGGCACGCAGCUGCGGGCGCUGGGCCUGCUGGCGGUGUACGGGUUCAACGUGACGUACGAGGUGCGCGCGCCGACGCGCCCGCCCGGGCCCACGUCGUGCAGCGCCAUCGAGUGCAGGCUGCUCGGACACUGCUAUGCGCGACAAGAUUACCAGGAGUUCUUCUGCUCGUGCUUCGAGGGCUACUCGGGCGCGGACUGCGGCGUGGGCCCGCGCUGCCCCAGCACCAACUUGUGCAAGAACGGCGGCACCUGCAGACAGAUGGGUCCAGCCGCAGUGAGCUGUAUCUGCGCGCCGGGGUACACGGGCGACCUGUGCGAGGCGCAACUAGCGCCACCUGAAUGCGGCAUAGAAGAAUGUGCAGAGGUUUGCAAAGAUGGCACUGCAUGUGACUGCAACCCAAAAGAUACGGACUUUGCUUCAGCUAAAUUCGAAACUGGACUGCAGGUAGUGGGCCAAGUUGAAAACAUAUCACAAGAAAUUGUUAAAGAGUUAACAACGUAUCUAAAAGCAUCCAAUAUAACGCUGGAGGAUGAAAUAGAAAUUCUUAACAUUAGUUCAGAGGCGGCGGGUGGGGCGCGCACGGCCCGGGUGCGUGUGUGGGGCGCGCGGCGCGAGGCGGGGGCCCUGCGUGCGGCCCUGGCGCGCCUCGCCGCCUCGCGCAGCCGUGCGCACGCGCUGCGCAUACUGCCCACUGCACACCACGUGGAAAUGCAACCCGCGCUUAGCUUGCACACUUUGGUAGUGAACCAGCGACCAGAACUAUGGGAAGGCUCAGAGUUCAUACUGACAUGUAUGGCGUACGGAUCUCCCAACAUUGCCUUCACGUGGUACAAAGACGGUGUCAAGAUAAAUUUUAAUGGCACAACGAGAGAUAUUUGGACGCGCACAGUUUCAGAAGAUGCACUAGGUCGUCGCAUGUCUGUGUUGGGCGUAUCGGAAGCAAAAAGACUUGACGGUGGCAAGUGGUCCUGUGCAGCAGAUGACGCUGGCAGGAGACGCUGUAGAGCGUUGAGACUGACGGUGUUGAGACCGCCUGAUAUACGACUUGUACCUUCUACGAUAACUGUCCAUAAAGGUGAUAAUGUGAGUAUCACGUGUCUGGCGGGUGCUGGCCGGGUACACGGCGUGCUCGGGUUCAGUUGGGCGAGGGAGAGGACGCUACUGCCGAUGGUACCUGGCAAAGAGGUUUGGGAGGAUCUGUACCCUGCGGGAAGCGUACUCAAACUUUACAAUGUGCAAAAAUCCAGUGAGUUUCGAUGUCAAGUAUCAUCAGUGGCUGGCACAAACGCCAAAGGUGUGACCAUGUGGGCCCUAGGAGCUGAUGACGUAGCGUGUGAGAGUGACGCCUCCCACGGUCUACGCUGGCCGAAGACUGCUCCCGGUGCACAUGCGACUGCCUCCUGUCCGCCGGGCCAUAGCGGGGAGACUACCAGGUUUUGUGAACCAAAGACGGGUCAGCAAGGUGUUAAGUGGAUGCUGCCAGACUUCUCCGGCUGUGUUGCUGAAUCACUGAGGGAUAUUUAUGAACAGUUUACUCUGAUAUCGUUGGGGUACUCCUGGGGAGCGGUAUCGCACGUGUCGCGGCAGUAUGGCUCCGUGCUGCGGUCUCUGCCCACACACCCGGGUGAGGGCCAGCCUCCCCUCACACAUGCAUCUCACAUGCUGCAGUACCUCCUGUCGACUGCGGCUCAACCUGCCGACCGGUACCACAGCGCCGAACAUCUGCUCAACAUCUACGACACCUUGCUCAAACACCCCGAUGCUUUUUUGGAUGAAGAGAAAAUCUUCGAUCUCCAAAAAGCUGUAGUAGAUACAGCUGGCAUGAGAAGUGACUUAGACAAGCGCUACCAAGAGUUCACAGUCAAAACUAAAUCCGUACAUGACGACAACGCGGCACACUUUGAGCUGCAGCCAGCUCCAGUGGGGAGUGAGGAGUGGGUCGUGACGUCAGCAGGAGUUGAGCUGGCGGCAGCCUCUGGAAACGCUUCCGUAGUGACCGUGCUUUACCAUAACCUAGGAGCAAGGUUACCGUCCUUGAGAAGAUACGUAGAGUACAAGUCUGGUCGAGCGACAGAGUACACGGUAGCAUCGCAACAAGUGCAAGUAUCAGUGAGUGGCGCGGGAGUCGACGCUUCGCUUCCUCAUACUGUGACACUGCUGUUCGCGCAUUCCAAAAACUACAGCGCUAUUGCGUCUCAGCUAGCAUGCGGCGUUCGGUCGCGGGCGUCACCACGCGUGUGGAGCAUGCAGGCGUGCGAGGUGCGCGUGCCUGAACAUACGCACGUCGCGUGCCGCUGCCGGGGCCUCGCCACCAUCGCACUCUUCACUGUCGACAGAGAGACACUCACAGACUCAGAAAAAGAUCUUCGAGGAAUAGUGAAAGUCACAGUGAGCCUGGGAGGUGCCAUGUGUCUUGUUGCGGCAUUACUACAGCUCCUCAGUCUGGUGGCUGGUAGCAAGGCCAGGCUGCCCAUACUGCUCAAAGCCGCCACUGCUGCCACGCAUUCAGCAGCGGUGUUGGCUCUCCUGGAGUGCGACACGCGGCAGUCGGCGUGCCCCGGGCCGCUGGGCUGGGUAUGCGCGGCGUGCUGGUGUGCGGGCUGUGCCGCGCUGUGUGCGCAGCCACUGCUCCUGCACGCUGAGCUGGCUGCCUCGGCCACACGCGCGCCCUCUGUCGGCCUGCUGGCGGGCGUGUGCACGCUGUGCUGGCUGACAGCGCGACUGUGGGGCGGUGCACCGCUGCAGCUCGGCGCAGCUGCUAACGCCGUGUGUGGCGCGGGCGCCGCACUGUUGGCCGCGCUCACCCUUUGCCUUGCUCUUUGUGCUGCCAGGACGUUACGAACGGUGACACACAAGCUACCCCCCGAUAGACGCUCGUACGUGCGGGAGCGCGCACGUGUUGUGCGGCACACAUUAGUGUUACUAUUCACAACGUCAGCAACACAGGCGGCUGGGGUUGCGUACGCGCAGCCGGGCGAGAGGACCAUGCCUCACGUCACCGCACUGUCAGUUGCUGCUCUCGCCAACGGCAUAGCAAUGCUGAUAUGCUACGUGAUCUGUGAUGAAGAGUGUCUGCAUGCCGCGAGACGGCUACUCACACUCUCCUCCCACAACGAGUGGCACGAGUCACCGGAGGGAGACACCUCGCUUAGUUUGUACAUAAAGCAAGGACGUGAGGUGGAGUGCUCUUCAUCCCACGUGUCACCAGCCAACACAUACUGGCGAGCGCCUCCGCUGGAGGCUGCCAGCACAAUGCACAGGCGCGAGUCAAGCGGCGCGUGCGUGGCGGACAUAGUGCGCUGCGUGGAGUACAAGCAGGCGCUGCUGUCGCCGCGCGCCGUGGACUCGCGCGCGCUCUGCGAUCUCAUACCCACCGGUGGUGCAAGUGUGUGUGCACCCACACAGUCGCACGUAUCACACGUAUGUGUGGAACUGCGCGUACUGCCCGCGUCGCCGCCAGUGCCGCGUGCGCAGCCAUACAGCGACAGUAGUGACACGCCGAAGGAAAGCUGCACAAUGUGCUCACAGUCGAGUCCUGAUGUGUCGGUGCCAGCACCAGCACCAGCUCGACCAAUCAAGAGCUGCCUCAAGAAGCGCUCCUCGCAGCUGUCAUGGAGCAGCUCGCUGCCGUCCAUCCACCGGGAAUGUGACGACAACAACCAAUCACACACACAGCUAGUCAACACACACUCCCCUACGACUACCCACACAUACACACCCACAGACAAAGUGCUCAACAAGAUAUCACACGACCUGGACUUCUUGUUGAACAGGACGCCGAGCCGCGCCGCCGACGCGUGCGCACAACGCAUAGAGGAGGCGCCCACUUAGUAGUGCGCGCGCGCAUAGCUGUAAGGUAACUUGUACGUACUUGUGGGAACAGGGAGUCAAAUGUACAUAUUGUAUUAAUAGUACAGACUGUAUAGACAAAUUAAUUAUAGAAGUAAGAUGUUUUUUAAUAUUUUGAAAUUAUAUCGUAAAUAAAAAUGUAAAUACGGAUGUGUUUGUUCGUUGAAUAUAUUCGCUGAAACGGCUAAAUGGUGAUAGAAAAUACCCCAGAGGCUUUCGGUAGAUAGCGAAUAAAAUCUUUAAGCGUAUACUCGAGUGAAACACCGGAAAGCAGCAAGUUGCUGCACAAAUAAAAAGGUACCUAAUAUUUGCAGCGUCUGUAGUAUUAAACAAUUCUGAACAAGUUCACUGUAAAAUAAUAGUUAAAUUGAAUCAAAUUAACUUUUGUUACAAAUAAAUGAUCAAAAUAUCGAGACAAAGUGUGAUAUAAUUUUGGAGCGAAUGAUAUGUAAUACGUUAAUGUAAAUAGUUAGAUAAUAAUGUUGUUUUGAGAAAAGACUAAAAAUGUUGUUUCAGUAUGAUGACAAAUGAGUCCAAAGGUGUACGCACAUUUAUCCGAUCCGAACGCGCUGUACAAAUCGAAGUCAAUGAAGUCUCGAACGAAAAUAUAUGCAGUUCUUAUUCCUUUACUCCAGUUAUCAGCAUUGUCAGAUACACAGAAUUUUAUUUUGUCAUUGCGAUUGGAAGCGGGGAUUUAUAUCCUUACUCUCUUGCCCGCCGCUUGUAAAUUUGGCUAGAAUAAAUGUGCGUACACCUUUAUACUGCUACAACUGGAAAUAUUUAAUUUGUUCGUAACUAGAGUAACACGAAAAAUUACAGUAAUAUGUUAUUGAUAAAUGUUAUAAAUUAUAUGACACCACAUUUCGUAAAGACAAAGACCAAAUUAUUUACCAAUUUCGCUGAACUGACAGUAUUAUGUUUUUUGUAAUUAUUUGAGUAACGAUGAUGAUGAAAUGAUUAAUUUAAGUUUUAAUAUAUUUUUAACCGACUUCCCAAAAAGGAGGAGGUUAUCAAUUCGGCCGGUA
rnacentral:misc_RNA from 1 species